rnacentral:rRNA from 1 species
AUACGGAGGGUGCGAGCGUUAAUCGGAAUUACGGGGCGUAAAGGGCGUGUAGGCGGGUUGGUCAGUCAGAUGUGAAAGCCUGCGGCUUAACCGUAGAAAUGCAUUUGAAACUGCCGGCCUUGAGUGCGAGAGAGGGUAGUGGAAUUCCCAGUGUAGCGGUGAAAUGCGUAGAUAUUGGGAAGAACACCAGUAGCGAAGGCGGCUACCUGGCUCGCAACUGACGCUAAUGCGCGAAAGCGUGGGGAGCGAACAGGAUUAGAAACCCCAGUAGUCC